rnacentral:rRNA from 1 species
AUUGAACGCUGGCGGCAUGCCUUACACAUGCAAGUCGAACGGCAGCACGGGGGCAACCCUGGUGGCGAGUGGCGAACGGGUGAGUAAUGUAUCGGAACGUGCCCAGUAGUGGGGGAUAGCCCGGCGAAAGCCGGAUUAAUACCACAUACGACCUAUGGGUGAAAGCGGGGGACCGCACGGCCUCGCGCUAUUGGCGCUGCCGAUGUCAGAUUAGCUUGUUGGUGGGGUAAUGGCCUACCAAGGCGACGAUCUGUAGCUGGUCUGAGAGGAAGACAAGCCACACUGGGACUGAGACACGGACCAGACUCCUACGGGAGGCAGCAGUGGGGAAUGUUGGACAAUGGGGGCAACCCUGAUCCAGCCAGGCCGCGUGCGGGAAGAAGGCCUUCGGGUUGUAAACCGCUUUUGUCAGGGAAGAAACGCUCCGGGCUAAUACCUCGGAGUAAUGACGGUACCGGAAGAAUAAGCACCGGCUAACUACGUGCCAGCCGCCGCCGUAAGAC